AUCACAGCCUACCCAGAAUACCAAUGCUGGUCAUUACCUUCCCUUUAAGGACCACAGCGUACUCAUCUUCUGAUGGUUACUUCCAGUAUUGAUCCAUCAGAGCUCCUCUGCUAUGUUGAGAAACGGGAGACAUAGAAGUUCUGGAGACCAGCCAGGAGGCAGCAAAAACCCAUGAAGGAGCUCUGGAGACUGUCCAUGAGGUCACCGGGACCCACAAAGAUGCUAAGAAGAUGUUAAAGCAAACUAUUACUGACGCCGGUGACCUGUUCUUGCAGUUAUUAGCCCAGCGCGU